UGUCUCAUUUUUGUAGAUCAAGACACUGGGGGGCUCCCUUUUCCCCUUAACCAUGGCUGGAGGCCAAGAUCAGCCUUCAAGGAUCAUCGUCAGGACCACCAUGAGCUGGAAAGCCUUGUUUUCCUACCUCAGACGUAA
ensembl:scaRNA